GCAUGGGUUUGGAUUUACUGCAGGCCCAGCCCAUGGGUGUCACACAGUGAGUGUCUCAUGUCGGAGCAAACCGUAGCCCCCAAGCCAUUGCCUUGCCUCCUAGCCCAUAGGCUUGUGGCACUGAAGCGGGUUGCACAGUG
ensembl:snoRNA